AAUAAGUCAGUGGUGAAAUCCCAUCGCUUAACGAUGGAACUGCCAUUGAUACUGUUAGUCUUGAAUGAGGGUGGCAGUGGUUGGAAUGUGUAGUGUAGCGGUGAAAUAGCAUAGAUAUUACACAGAACACCGAUUGCGAAGGCAGAUCACUAACCCUAUAUUGACGCUGAGGGACGAAAGCGUGGGGAGCGAACAGGAUUAGAUACCCUGGUAG
rnacentral:rRNA from 1 species